GUGCUCUCUUCGACAGCACAUAUACUAAAACUGGAAUGAUACAGAGAAGAUUAGCAUGGCCCUUGUGCAAGGAUGACAUGCAAAUUCAUGAAGGGUUCUAUAUUAAG
ensembl:snRNA U6 U6 spliceosomal RNA